rnacentral:misc_RNA from 1 species
UACAGAGGGUGCAAGCGUUAAUCGGAGUUACUGGGCGUAAAGGGCGCGUAGGCGGUUAUUUAAUUGAGAUGUGAAAUCCCUGGGCUUAACCUAGGAACUGCAACUCAUACUGGAUGACUGGAGUAUUGUAGAGGGUAGUGGAAUUUCCGGUGUAGCGGUGAAAUGCGUAGAGAUCGGAAGGAACACCAGUGGCGAAGGCGGCUACCUGGACAAAUACUGACGCUGAGGCGCGAGAGCGUGGGGAGCAAACAGG